CCUUGACAUUAUGACAUCACAAAAACUAUAGACUCAACCCAUGCAGUUAGCCAUAGCCACUCAAAUACAGCAGCAGGAUGAACAGAUGAAGCUGGAUCAAAUUUUGUUGUUAUUUUUUCCAAUUUCUAUCCUGCCCUUCCUCUCGAAGGAGCUCAGGAUGGCAAAAUUGCUUGCAGAGGAGGAACAAAAGGGUUCAGUGAAGCAGCAGCAUCAUGGAGAAAUAUUAGGACACUGACAGAAUCCAAAAAAAUGCAAAUGGUCAUUGAUGUGAGUGUUAAAAUUGGUAAUCCAAUCGGCUGGAUUGUGUGCUUUUUUUCAGAGCAAGGAGCUGAAUUCUAGAGUAUUUGCUGAGUAUCUCUCUCACAAUACAAAUAAUAAAGUAGUACAUAUCUAUACCCCAUUUCUAUAAAUGAGCAUAAUGUUAUAUUAAAUUGUUGCCUAUGGUUUUAGGAGAAAGGUAGUGACUUUAUCUCUUCUCUCCAUUUUUGGGUUGAGAGGGUAUGUUUCGACCUGAAUCUGACUCCUGUGCUAAUUAGUUUUGCAAAAUAAGCAGGCUGUGAAGACGCCAGGUGAGGAAACGAACAAAAACACCCAACACUACAAUUUCGAGGCCAAGUUCCAGUACAGUGCUUUAGUUGCCUUUUUAUCAUGUAUUGUCUGAAAUAAUUCCUCUAAUCAUAUCCAUUCCUUGAACCUGCAGCACUUUUUACAUUUUAGUCCACAGUAUAUGUUGUUUUCAAAAUGCUGGGCUGCUGUUCUCUGCCCCUUAAUAGGGAGCAUUUUUUAACAUCAGAAAACUGAUGUCAUCAUGAGCAAAUAAAGGAAGGUUAUUUGGAAAACCUUUAAUUUUAAAAAGCAUGCACAUGAAUGAACUUAGAAUCUUGAAAACAGCUUUUGUCUAACAUAAUGUCCCGGAAAUCUUUAUUUUCUACAUAUUCAAGCUAUACCUGAUCUUGGAACCCUCUCCUGAAUAUUGUGCUUUCCAGUUAAGAUCAUAAAGUAAUUCAGUUCUACUUUGUCUUAUUUGAAAUACACCAUCUUCAUCUGAGAUUACUAUAAAAAUGCUGUGAGCAAUUCUGCUGGCUGAGACCUUGUGUAAAGCACCUGUGCUUUCUUUCCUAAACUACACUUGACAUAGAGCUUAUCAACCCUUAAUUAGUGAUACAUUUUCUCCCUGUGAUUUCUAUUGAUGUUUCGUUGAGGAAAGACGAAUUGAACCUCAACCUGACUAGAGUACGAAUUGUUUUAGAAAAUUCAACAAACAUCUCUCUUUGUGUCUCUUCUUUUGCUUAUUCCCCUUCGAUAGAAAAGGUGAAAAGCUGUACGAUAGAAAUCAGGUUCUGUAUUAGUGUUUUUGCUUGCCUGUGCAAUAGAAAACGACAAGCGUCAGGGCCUCAGUCAGCAGAUCAGGGAGACACAGAUGGGAGGCGAAAAGCUCCCUUGUGGCAGCAGGAUUGCUUGGAUGUGAUUGUGAGAGCCAGGAUGAAGUCGGCACUGACAAAGUGUGUGGAUUGAUGGAUGGACAAAGCUGGGAACUGGAUGCGAGAAUGGAUGAGGGCAGAGGGGGAAUUUAACACAGACAAACAGAGUGAAAGACAGAGAGGAAUUGCCUGCUAAAGUAUUCCGGCAGUCAGAGCCCACAAGCAAUUUACUUACUGCUAACAGAACGCGGGAGGAUUUUUCUGCAGAUAUUCCUAAAAUACAUCAAAAGACUGAGCAUGUACCAAAUUCCAGCACAGGUGGUAGUUAUCUCCCAUCCCACAAUUCACACUACUUGAUAAUUUUUCACAGUAUGUUUUCAACUGUAUAUUUUUUCCACAUUUCAGUUGUUUCUCCUUAAAUCUGUCUGCAC